CCGCGGUACUUCGGUUGGCCCCGGAUAGCCGGCUUCGGUCGGUGAGUAGAGCCGUUCGUGACAGGGCUGGGGCGCGGCCGGAUGAUGGUCGCCCCUCUCCUAUCUCGCACCGCAUGUUUGUGGAGAACCUGGUGCUGAAUCACUUGCAGACGACCUGAUUCUGGGUCAGGGUUUCGUACGUAGCAGAGCAGCUCCCUCGCUGCGAUCU
rnacentral:rRNA from 1 species